rnacentral:rRNA from 1 species
AGAGUUUGAUCCUGGCUCAGGAUGAACGCUAGCUACAGGCUUAACACAUGCAAGUCGAGGGGCAGCAUGGUCUUAGCUUGCUAAGGCCGAUGGCGACCGGCGCACGGGUGAGUAACACGUAUCCAACCUGCCGUCUACUCUUGGACAGCCUUCUGAAAGGAAGAUUAAUACAAGAUGGCAUCAUGAGUCCGCAUGUUCACAUGAUUAAAGGUAUUCCGGUAGACGAUGGGGAUGCGUUCCAUUAGAUAGUAGGCGGGGUAACGGCCCACCUAGUCUUCGAUGGAUAGGGGUUCUGAGAGGAAGGUCCCCCACAUUGGAACUGAGACACGGUCCAAACUCCUACGGGAGGCAGCAGUGAGGAAUAUUGGUCAAUGGGCGAGAGCCUGAACCAGCCAAGUAGCGUGAAGGAUGACUGCCCUAUGGGUUGUAAACUUCUUUUAUAAAGGAAUAAAGUCGGGUAUGCAUACUCGUUUGCAUGUACUUUAUGAAUAAGGAUCGGCUAACUCCGUGCCAGCAGCCGCGGUAAUACGGAGGAUCCGAGCGUUAUCCGGAUUUAUUGGGUUUAAAGGGAGCGUAGAUGGAUGUUUAAGUCAGUUGUGAAAGUUUGCGGCUCAACCGUAAAAUUGCAGUUGAUACUGGAUAUCUUGAGUGCAGUUGAGGCAGGCGGAAUUCGUGGUGUAGCGGUGAAAUGCUUAGAUAUCACGAAGAACUCCGAUUGCGAAGGCAGCCUGCUAAGCUGCAACUGACAUUGAGGCUCGAAAGUGUGGGUAUCAAACAGGAUUAGAUACCCUGGUAGUCCACACGGUAAACGAUGAAUACUCGCUGUUUGCGAUAUACAGCAAGCGGCCAAGCGAAAGCGUUAAGUAUUCCCCCUGGGGGAGUACCCCCGCCACCGGUGAAACUCCAAAGGAAUUGACGGGGGGCCCGCACAACCGGAGGAACAAUGUGGGUUUAAUUUCAAUGAUAACGCCAGGGAACCUUCACCCCGGCGUUAAAUUUGCGAAGAGAAUUACCCGUGGAAAGCCGUAAGCCGCAAGGCAUCUGUGAAGGUGCUGCAUGGUUGUCGUCAGCUCGUGCCGUGAGGUGUCGGCUUAAGUGCCAUAACGAGCGCAACCCUUGUUGUCAGUUACUAACAGGUUCCGCUGAGGACUCUGACAAGACUGCCAUCGUAAGAUGUGAGGAAGGUGGGGAUGACGUCAAAUCAGCACGGCCCUUACGUCCGGGGCUACACACGUGUUACAAUGGGGGGUACAGAGGGCCGCUACCACGCGAGUGGAUGCCAAUCCCCAAAACCUCUCUCAGUUCGGACUGGAGUCUGCAACCCGACUCCACGAAGCUGGAUUCGCUAGUAAUCGCGCAUCAGCCACGGCGCGGUGAAUACGUUCCCGGGCCUUGUACACACCGCCCGUC